rnacentral:rRNA from 1 species
UUGAACGCUGGCGGCAUGCCUUACACAUGCAAGUCGAACGGCAGCACGGGUGCUUGCACCUGGUGGCGAGUGGCGAACGGGUGAGUAAUACAUCGGAACAUGUCCUGUAGUGGGGGAUAGCCCGGCGAAAGCCGGAUUAAUACCGCAUACGAUCUACGGAUGAAAGCGGGGGACCUUCGGGCUUCGCGCUAUAGGGUUGGCCGAUGGCUGAUUAGCUAGUUGGUGGGGUAAAGGCCUACCAAGGCGACGAUCAGUAGCUGGUCUGAGAGGACGACCAGCCACACUGGGACUGAGACACGGCCCAGACUCCUACGGGAGGCAGCAGUGGGGAAUUUUGGACAAUGGGCGAAAGCCUGAUCCAGCAAUGCCGCGUGUGUGAAGAAGGCCUUCGGGUUGUAAAGCACUUUUGUCCGGAAAGAAAUCCUUGGCCCUAAUACGGUCGGGGGAUGACGGUACCGGAAGAAUAAGCACCGGCUAACUACGUG